rnacentral:rRNA from 1 species
UACGAGAGCCCCGAGCGUUAUCCGGAAUUAUUGGGCGUAAAGGGUGUGUAGGUUGCGUUGUUAGUCGUCCGUUAAAUCCUCUGGCUUAACCAGAGAACCGCGAACGAAACGGCAAUGCUAGAGAUUGUGAGAGGUUUGCGGAACUCAUGGUGUAGGGGUGAAAUCCGUUGAUAUCAUGGGGAACACCAAAAGCGAAGGCAGCAAACUGGCGCAAUUCUGACACUGAAACACGAAAGCGUGGGUAGCGAAUGGG